GUUUUUUUUACCACGUUUCUUGAAAAACGUGUUCCAAUAUUCAACUUGGCUAAAUUCUUCGUGCGUUUUUGGUAAUAUAUUCAUAUUUUCUAUGUUUUAAUUAUAUUUACAAAUUGGACAACAUACAAACAAAAUACAGAAUAUAGGUUGGAGAAAAAGAAGGGUAUGGAGGAAGAAAGGCAAAAAGAAAUGUUUCGUCCAUCUAAGAGUGCUGGAUUAGAACCAGGUUCUAUCAGAGGCAAAACCUGGUAGAGGACACAUCAGUAAAGCUACCUUUUUAAAUACAAUUGAAGUUACUAUCAGCUUAAUAAAUGUUUAUUAUGAGAAUUGUAUUUAUCUUAUGAUAAUAAUAAAAAGCGGACAAAACUUGUAA